ACUCUUGCCACUAGGCCAUAUCCCCAGCCCCCAGUUCAUGACAUUUUGAAGCAUUGUGUGACAAGGAUAAUAAUUCAUGUGCUCUACAGAUAACCAUUUUUGUAGUUAUAAAUGUAGACAUUGGUAAUUUUACAAAAGAGAAGUUUAAGGAGCAUCAGUCUUAAACAGUGACUCUUAUUAGCUGAGUGACUUUUGUCUCCUUAGAGGAUACCCAGCAAUAUCUGGAGACACUUUGAUUGUCUCUUCUAGAGGACAGAUAUGCUGCUGCUUGUAUCUAGUCGGUAGAGGCUAGGAGAUAGGUUGCUAAAUAUCCUAGGAUGCACAGGAAAGCCCUUAUGACACAGAAUUAUCUUGCUUAAACAAUCAUAAGUGCCCAAGCUAAAAAAUUUACAUCUAUGUUUUCUUUUGUUUCUCUCUCCCUCCCUCUCUCCUUCCCUUUCUUUUGGGGUGGGAUGAACCCCUGGAGCUUAACUACUCAGAGUCUUGUGCUUACC